UACGUAGGGUGCGAGCGUUGUCCGGAAUUAUUGGGCGUAAAGAGCUCGUAGGCGGUCUGUCGCGUCGAAUGUGAAAACCCGGGGCUCAACUCCGGGCUUGCAUUCGAUACGGGCAGGCUAGAGUUCGGUAGGGGAGUCUGGAAUUCCUGGUGUAGCGGUGAAAUGCGCAGAUAUCAGGGAGAACGAGCCGGUGGCGGAAGGCGGGACGUCCUGGGCCGAAUACUGACGGCUGAGGAAGCGAAAGGCGUGGGGAGGCGAACAGG
rnacentral:rRNA from 1 species